rnacentral:misc_RNA from 1 species
GGGAAAUUGAAGAAGACGACAAUUUUUGAAAUGGCAUGUUCUCUGUCUCUCAAGCAGCCAUUCACGUCUCUGCCUACCAACACAACCACUCAGGGUAAAUUGCCUGUAAACUUUCCAGUGACAUUUGGGUGCAUGAAUGGGAAGGGAAUUCUAAUAGAAAAGAAAUUCCAACUGAAUUGCUCAAGAGACAAAGAGAUGGAUCUCACU